CAGUAGCCGCGGGAAUACGGAGGGUGCAAGCGUUAAUCGGAAUUACUGGGCGUAAAGCGCACGCAGGCGGUCUGACAAGUCAGAUGUGAAAUCCCCGGGCUUAACCUGGGAACUGCAUUUGAAACUGUCAGGCUGGAGUCUUGUAGAGGGGGGUGGAAUUCCAGGUGUAGCGCUGAAAUGCGUAGAGAUCUGGAGGAAUACCGGUGGCGAAGGCGGCCCCCUGGACAAAGACUGACGCUCAGGUGCGAAAGCGUGGGGAGCAAACAGGAUUAGAUACCCGCGUAGUCCCUGUCUCUUAUAC
rnacentral:rRNA from 1 species